rnacentral:lncRNA from 1 species
GGAGAAUUUUGGCAGAAAGUUUGAAAGCUACACAAAUUAUUCCCGCACACACACUUAGUGCUGCGUACUAAGGCCUUAUGCUAAUUCUAGGUCGCACCUUAUGAUUUAAUUAACAGCAGCAAUGACAUGGGCAGUCCACGUGCUGUAGAAAGCAGAGGAAGAUCCUGUCAGCUUUGUGAAGCUAAGAUGUUAACAGGUCAGGAUGCUGCCAAAAUGUUGGAUUUCUGCAUCACAAUGGGGACAUUGGUAAGAUGACCCUCAUCCGGCUUUGUGCAGCUCAAAAAGAGGCGGCAGGAGAUGGAGAGAGGAAAGGAAUGAAAGAGAGAAGAGGAAGUCAUGCAGGCGAGCGUUCUUGCUCCCGUUGAAGUGGAUCAGAUGUCUCACCGCCAACCUGACUGCAGGGGACACGAUGCUGGACCAAGAUCCAGCACCCAUCCCCCCUCUCCCUGCAUCUACUCCCCACCUGGCUGUCAUUGAGGUUUCCAUCUAAGGGUGGUGGGGGCUUCAAAUGCAGAGGCAGACAAUCAGACGCAGGUGUCUCCUCUAGUGACCCGGAUGUACUUAUCCCCCGAUGCCUGGUGACCCUGACAGGAAGUGAUUCGCUGGCCAAGUGACCUCCCCUGGUGGCCCUUCCUGUCCCCGUGUUGCCUCUCAGGAAGGAAGGAUGCGGUUUGUUGUCCUCAGGCGCCUCGCUCUCACUCUCCUGUCCUCAGCCUGACGAGAGAAACUAGAUUAUUGAUUCCAGGCUCGUCUCUCCUCGUCCUGUCCUUUUUUUAUUCUUCUUUUUCUGUCUGCUCCAUUCUUCAUCUCUUUCUCUCUUGUCUCAGCACCCACUUUAUUUUCUUUUGACAUCAUCCCUUUCUUCUUUUGUUAUAUUUUCCCUGUCCGUACGAGAUGUGAGUAAACACUGCGGACACAGGCAAACCGCAUCGUCCCCGAUCCCAUUCAAUUACACUCAGGGGGCUAACAAGUUUUUUGAUUUAUAGGCUCCAUUUAUUUUAUUUCUGACACUGAUUUAUUUAUUUGUUUUACUGUUAUUUUAUUGCCCAUACAUUCACAUUAAAUAUGGCAGUCAAUUCAUGUGGUGGAGAAUUUCCAAGGUCAGGCUUCUGGGUUUAGUCUGCUCUAAAAUGAAGUGCAUGCACACUGCAGAUUAAAGACACCAUUUGGUCGUAUUUAGGACGGGAAGGGGACUUCCAGGCAGAGACAGACACAGAGACCUCACUAACAACAUCAAACGCUGUUUUUGUUGUUCUUGGCUGUAGAUUAAGAACAGGAACUUAAACCAACAAGGUGAAAAGGUCAUGAAAAAUCAUUGCCAUUGUUUGUUAAUUGUGUAUCUGUCAAGCAACAAUGUCCAGGCCAGGAAAAACCUUAUCUCCUGAAGACUUUCACUACUUUCUAUGUUUAUAAUGUCAGCGUAGAGCGUAAUUUAUAAUAAUUCGUUUGGUGUAAAGAUGGUGAUAAUACAGUUUUUAUGUCUUAUUAUAGUAGAAUAUUUCUCUUUGUCACUUGUUAAUUAACAUUUUGUAAUUUCUGUCAUCAGCUGUAAUUGUUGUAUUGUGUUUGGUAAUGUGCCUUCAGUUUGUGAUUUUAAUUAUUAAAUGCAUUAACAUAAAAAAUAAUAAAGUUAAACCUUUUAUGAGCCUAAUUGUGUCUUUUUGUAGUUUUAAUAUUGUGAAAAAAAAAGUAGAAACAGAAAAAGCUAA